rnacentral:lncRNA from 1 species
UUAGAUCAAGCAGGGCUGGUUUUACUACUUUCCUCCGCCUGGUGUCGAAAAGCCGGAAGAAAUUGGAAUGAAGGGAGCGCUUCCCAAGGAUGGAUACAAAGCCUGCCAACUUGAUAGCUGCUUCGAAUCCAUAUAUCUAUGUUUUUGUUAAAGCCUUGAUGGGGACCUUGUAGCACACAACCAUGUCGAAUACGCUAGAACUCAGCAUUGAAAGAGAACCAAGCUCGAUAGGAAAUUUGUUGAUGGUGAGCUUCUCCAAAAAAAACUAUAAGUACAAGAUCUCCUUCUUUAAUAGCGGUAUCACUACCUGACCGGCGGGCCAGCCGCUCGUCCAGCCGUGUUAAAGCUUCCAUAAAAAAAGCCAGACUAAGCAAUAAGGUACCCCGUAUCACGUUCUAUGGGAAAGAGUUGGAGCAGCCUAGAUAAGAAAACCCAGGAGCCCUACCCAAGAGAGGAUCUUAGCUGUGACUAUGCCAGGCCUUCUGUUGUCAGAUUGUAAAUGUUAUGUAAUUUGUUUCAACGAAAAAGUAAUUAGAUCAUAGGUAGGGGGGAAGUGUGCAACAGAGCAUAGGGUAUGAAGGGCAGCACUUCCUUGUAGGGUGUGGAAGAGGGGAAGCUUUCUAUGUGUGGAUAGAGGACGUCGUGGACGGACGAAAGAAGGGAUCCUGAUUACGAAGGGUCGAAUACAGUUCAGCAAGUAGGGCUUGCUCCAGUUCCUUAUGCCCCAGAGAAGCAUUGAGCGAGCUCUUCAGGUGUUGUGAUGAGACCGCGUUCCAUCGGGUUUUCCUAAAUUAAGAGAAAUCGGUUUCUAGUGCAAACUGAGAUCUUUGAGCUAGGCUGAAAUCUUGUCACAGAGUGGACUCAGUUUGUCAGGAAGUGAAUCGUCUUUGGCGGAAUCUGUCAAUCCAUCAAUAUAGAAAUGAAAAGGGAGGAAUGCGCCAAGCUUUAAAGUAGGAACUGGAAAUGGUUCUUUUAAAUUGAGAUAUAGGCUAGCUAAAUGAAAUGUCUAAUAGGCUAGUAGUCAAGGUUGGGAGCACCAUGGUAGCGGUUGGUGGGGGGCUUCGUUCCUUGAAUAUUGAAGCGUUCAUUGUUGGGCCCUAUUCGUUCGAUCAAAAAAAAAGGGGGGGAAUAAUUAAGAAUCGCUUAGAAUUUUUUAUUAUCGUUCGUAUAUAUAGUUAUAUAUAUAUAUAUAACUAUAUAACUAUAUAGUGAACAUUUUAUUUUUUUUGAUUUUCUUUUUGUUUAGGCCAGAUCUACACCUAAGUCUUCAUCCUACCGGUCCUCCGCGCAAUUUGAACUACAAAGUCAAAAAUUUAAUUAGGGCUACUGAACAUUUUGCCUAUGACAAUAUCUACUUAAAAGCCCUGGCUCUUAUCUAAGAACCAAAGCCACACCUAUCUUAAUCUCAUGCUCCACCCAACUUCUCUCGUUACUCCUUUCUAACAGAGCUCUUUGGCGAAUACUCCACUUUUUAAUGAUUAGAUCAUCCCAUGCCUCCACUAGUGAACCGCUCCCUACUCUCUCAACCAUCAAAAUAUGAUCUUGAGAUCGACGCUAUCUAGAUGCAUCAGUCCCAUAUCUUGGACUGUAAUACCAAGAUGGCUCUGGUAAUAGUCCUCUUUGUAGGUACAUUACCUAACAAUAAUGACACUCAUCUAACUAAGUUAGACUCUGAAAUAAAUAUUCAUAUCUACCAUACAUGUCCUUUGCCGGCAAGCUACCCUCCGUAAUUUCUAUCCGCCCGCCGGGGAGAGUCAUAAGUCCAACUAGCAAAUGGCUAUCGAGAGCUUACUGAACGGCUUUUCAUCGUAUAACGGGCGAGGUACUUCUAAAGAAGAAGAUAGGCCCCGUCGAAAUCGAGCUCCAAGGGCGAAGCCCUAAUUUACUAAGAAGGGGCGCCUAAACAAAAUAAGAAAAAAAAAAGGGCUAUAAGUAGGCCGUUUGCUAUUGCUAUAAGGGCUGCUCGCCUUUUGACGGCUUGGCUUCGCUAUCGCUCCUAUGUAGUGGUCAGCCUUAAAAGGAGUCUUCCUACCAUACCAGAAUGCCUAUGUUAUAGUGCGUUAAGCUUCGCCAGAAGCAAGCAAGACGAGGAAGCGAAGCUUCGUAGACAAGGCUCGUUCCGUGCUUGACUUACGAGCUCGUGUAGUAAGGCCUCGCCCUACUUCAAUAAGGGCUGUAUCACUCCACUCGUAAACGAGCGUUAGAGCGAAUUGAGCGAGCGAGCGAAGCCUUCCUGGAGCUUCCCCCUUCCCUCACCCUACAAUUUCAUUUCCGCCUCCCCAGUUUAGUUGGUUUGGAGGAUGAAUUGAUUGGAUACCCGAGAACCAUAAUCUUUCAAAGGAACAGCUUCUACGACGAUAGAUAGGGGUCAGGUUUGGCAUCUAUGCCCCCUGCCCUCCAAACAGUAUGAGAGCCUUUCAGCUCGUACUGCUCACACUCCUAGAUCUUCACGGCGGCACCUCCGCCACCAUAGUGUGAGCUGGGAGCAGCUCCGAAAAUCCCGGCCUACUAAAAAAUGAGCUUGAAAGUCAACGUCAACAAGAACAACACGAAUUGGUUGCCCACUGAUCUGAUCAUAGGUGAAAUCCAAUCCCUUCGCCUCUCGGAAGCGAGAAAGGGAGCAGCAAGCGUAGGCUUCGACAGUGCGUUUUGGGGCGCUAGUACUUAGUUGCUUUGGCGCGCCCCCUUUUUUUUUCAGAUGUCCACCCCAAACCGAAGGGGCGGAGGGCGCACAACCCCUUCUCCGCUCCUUUCCUGAGCGUUUCACACUAAGCUCUUCGAUUCUGCCCUGCGCCUCUCUGGGCUUCGCUAUCGCUCAUGACUGGUAGUUGUCUCUAUGUAGUGGUCGGCCUUCGUUAAGCUUCGCCAGAAGCGACUAGUCGAGUCUACGAAGCGAAGUACUUGCUUCCCCCCUUCGCCUCGCCAUGCCACUAGAUCUAUAAUGACCGGCGAGUCGGAACAUGUACAUAACCACGCAGAGCGCCGGGCCGGGAAUCGCAAGAAUUUGAAAGUCCUUUAUGGAAGGGUGGGAAAGAAAGGUUCGAAAAUUGCCGGAUUAGCAGGAGGGAGGGCGGCCCCACCCUGAAACAAAGGUGUACAUACAUAAGAAGAGGCUGAUUAUGUCGGUCUCCUUCCCAUCUAUAUUGACCGGGAAGAGGGGGGAGGCUCUUGCGGAAGCCCUGCCCGCCCUUCUCUAUUUUGAGGGAUCCCUCAUCUUGAUGAUUCCAGGCUUCCCGGACUUGUAACAGACGGCUAGGAACAAGAAGAGGAUAAGUAGUCUCUGCCGUAGCAGGUCCUUCUCCUUCCGCUGAGACGGCCCUCUUUUUUUUUUUCGUUCACCGCGGCACGAAAGAAUGAAGAAGCUGAAAUAACUCAGAAAGAGAGUGGCGCCUAGCCGUUGAGAGCGUCUGUUGUCUUUUAAGAAUAACUGUACGAUCUUGGACUGGCCCCCUUCGCAUGACCUAGAAUGAAAGAAAAAGAGGUCCGUGCUACUAUAAGGCCUCUAAACUCCUCCCUCAGGACACUGUUGCGUUGCCAUGGGGACGGGGUAGCCCCGACUUCUAUAGGUCCUUGGUUCGACCUCCUAAUGAGAAUUGAGGUCCUUGCGCGGGCGUCUCAUCCCUAAGACUUGCUUGCUCUGUAUGGAGUGUCCCGUGGUUCCUCGAGUGCCAGCCGCAGAGAGGAAUGCCAUCAACUAGGGCGCUAUUUGCCACUAACCACUCGCUCGCCGGCCGCUCGGGCUCCGCGUUUCAAGUUCGUUAUCCUAACCGUCUCCCCUGCUCUACCGGGAGCCUGGCCCCUUCUUCUAUCUUAUCUACUGCCUUGCUCCUCGGCUCCCUACUGCUCCAGCCGCUCGCUGUAAUAGCUUGCUUCUCGGGUGGCUCGCACCCCGACCCCGGGUGGUGCGGCUGAGCCAGAGUGGGCUCAGCAGUCGGCCUAUGUAUCCGGGCGCACGCGUAAAGGCAUGAUUAGUUCCACGAAUCUCACUGCACUGACCAUAGUAAACUCCUUCUCGUUGUACCAAAAUGGAGGUCUGAUUUGAACGACCAGGUACAGCAUCACAUUUGACACCUGAGGAAGGUACAGCCCAACUAUGAGGUACAUCAGCAGGUGUUACAAUCAUACGUAGAUGAGUUUUGGCUGGUACAACCACUCUAUUGUCAACUUCUAAUAAACGUGAUUGACCCAAUUCUGGAUCAUCUUCUGGAAUCGUAUAACUGUCAAAAGUGAGUGACUGUUCAUCGGAACUGUUAUAGUCCGAAUACUCAUAAGGUUGGGUCGACGCCCGCCUCCCCCCAAACUUGACUUGCAAGUUUCCCCGCAAAAAGCUCUCCACGCCUACUCUUAUAAAGAGCACUAUUCUUCUUUAGUUAGGUAGUUCUCCCCCCUCUCAGAGACCGUAAGACCCCGGUGGAAUCGAAGGCCCGCUUACUAAUAGGCAACAGGGGACCGUUUCUCGCCCAGCCCUACCUACUUCAGUUAAGCUGGAACCGAAAAAGACCUGGUUCCACACACAUGAGACACGAAGAAGGUAUGGGACGACCAGUUCACCACGGAAAGCGAAUUCGAUCCUAUAGUCGUCUUCUUUGUUUGAAAAAUGCGCAGUGGAAAGGGAUGCUAGUCGGCUCGGCGAAGUUGUAGGCCCCAAUAGAUCAGAUCAAGAGUGAUUCCUCACCUAUCCUGUCAGGGGCCAAGUCGAACGCUCGAGUAUAGAUUCCCUAUGCUCAUGUGAACGGCCGGCCCGUAGAUCUAAAAGGAUCCAUCCAUAGGCCUGACCGGAAAGUUUGUCCACGAAAAAAAAAGUCGUUCAUGAGACCUCGAAUUCCCACGUUCCAGCGUGCAUUAUGCCAGCAGGUCCCACCCCCAAUUGAUUGAGUCACCCUUAUAUUUAUUUAUAUAAAUAAAGACAUAGUAUAUAUCCUCUAUAUAGAUCAUAGGAUCACUCUAUGAAUAGGUCAAUUCUCUUUCUUUGACCUCCCACCGUUCACGACAUCCCUUGCUUCUCGCUGCGAACGGCUCCUCGGUGGAGGAGUAGAAGCGCUGGUCCCCUUCGGUCAAGUGCUUGUGCGUGCUGUUACCUACCGUAGGACCUCCGUCCCCGAAGCGAAGAAAGAGGAGCAGGAACAACAGGUUGUCCUCUCUUGGCCCAGUAGUUCCGCAACUACUACCGUGGUUGUUGCCAACGGGGAUCCCCCAUUCCGAAAGGUAACGGGGCCGGCCGUUAGGUCCAAAGUUGUCUGCCACUGCUGUGGUGCCGAUAGAUUCAAAACUUCAGCGCCGUUAUCAGACAUUGCAGGCUUAGCAUCUAUUUUUCGUAUAUCGCUCCACACCGAGAAGAGGUAUGUGUACCUCCAGCAACAACAAGAAUGGAACCAUAGGCUCCUAUGCUGGGAGCAUUUCGGGGUAUAGGUCUAACCACCUCAACUCCCCGUUUCUGGCAUGCUAUAGUUCUUAUAGUUAGUCUCUCGACGACGGGAAUGGGAGAUUACCGGUAAGCCAGAUGCUUCGCGAACCACCGGUACAUUUCGUUGCACUUAAAUCACCCUCGUUAAGAGGCGCACUCCGAUACCAUUGAUGUCCAAUAGCUUUUAUAGUAAUGGCUGGAUCUACUACUACCUCGUCCAUUGAGUAUAACAGAGCAAACGAUGGUAUAGCAAUGAACAUCGGGAUGAUACUUGGAAAUAUGGUCCGAAUAAUCUCGAUAGUCGUUCCAUGAACAAUCCUUUGCGGGAUUGGAUUUUUUUGCUCGUGGAAAUGCCAUAAAGCGCGAACCAACAUCCGUGAUACGAAAACAAAAAUCAGAAUGAGGAAGAAAAAGAUAUCGUGAUGUAAGUCAAUGAUUCCUUGCAUAAUAGGUGUUGCUGCGUCUUGAGAUCCUAAUUGCCAUGGUUCCGCAGCAUCACAAGGAGCGAUUGUGAGGAAUCGCCAUUCUAAAAAUACUUCAAUCAUUUUCAUUUCCAUUCUGUGACUGCUCUGCUCCCGAAAAGAAAAAGGAGACUUAUAGAGACUUGGCCUUGGUUUUUCCAACUAAAGUCUGAUGGGAGAAUGGCAUGCAAUGCGCAUUCUUUUCGAUAGCUUUCACAUUUGCGGUAGACUGAACACCCACCCAAUCUCGAAUGGAAAAGACAACUACUACGUAGAUUCGCUAGCGACUACGGCCGUUAUCCCCCCCUACUUACUUCAAUUAAAGCUCGCGACUACGUACUACUGAAUGGCUCGUUCCGGCCGAUACGUACCGCGACUACUAAUUCAAAGUCUUGUUGAUUCGCUAGCGCCUAUCACGCGAUCGCGCUAGCGCCCUAUUGCGCCUAUAUAGCCAUAGAGCUACUGCGUGUAGGCGUGGGUCCGUUCUGUAUGGCCUCAGAGCGUUGAAGACGACUUUGUUCGACCAAUGACAGUUGACCCGACCCCAGCAAGAAGCGCAUAGCAGAUCUAUCUUUGCUUCAUCCAUCCUUAGCGCAUCCGCAUCUGCUUUAUCAAAGAGCCGCUUCUUCAUGCGCAUCUUUCUUCCCUAACGAGGCGAACCAACCACCCUGCAGGCGUGGGCUCUCCAUUUAGGUAGCUUCCUGGAUCUCCCGCAAUAAGCGCAAGUGGUUCCGCCGGACGAAGUUGUAGUUGGUUCGUUUUCGUAUGAUGAUUGCUCGCGAACCUACCUUCACGGCUCGUUCCUUCGGAACCUGUGUGUCUUUACCAACUCGGUCCGCCCGGUGAGCGCUCACGACUAAGCGAGACUCGGAUGCUGUCUCAUUCGCUGUCUCGCAAUACAUUUUUCUUUUUCCGAUACGGCUCGCGACCUAAAAAAAUCCCGGCCCACUCGCCACGGUCCACUCGUUCACUCGCUGCUUCAAGUAAACCACUCGAUGCUCUCUCGCAAUCGAUUAGUCUCGCUUCGUCUCUUGCGACGAAGCUUUUUAGAUACUCCUUUCGCCUUUAUGCAUGCGGGAUUUUCUUCUUUUAUUCAAUUGUUAUGUAGUGCCGGAUUUAGAGGCAAGGGUACAAAAGAUUUGACUCACUGUAGACAUUAAGAAGAGGAGACAACCAGCUCUUGGACUAUAAAAAUGCGCGUGCUCGAUCUAGUAAUCUUGGACAAUUUUUGAUGAACUGUCACUAAACUCAAAAAGAAAGAAGAGAAAAAACUGGGAGUUGGCGCCUACAUAACUGGUAGCUUGCUUACCAAGCCGUCCUGGCAAGCUCCUCCAGUUCGAUUAUUAUUCUUGACUUGACUUAUUAUUAAGAAAACUACUCACUAUCCAAAUGAAAGACGAUCUAGAAUCUACCCAAGAAGAUAGAGAGUCCCACAUACGAGAAAAGGUCACAAAUGGAGUUGAACCAAGUAACAUUGCAAAGGCAUAAUGAUAGUAGGGUCGGGAUAUCCCCGCCCUCCGAACCGGACGUGAGGGUCUCCCCUCAUCCGGCUCUCUGCAGGGGAAUCUCCACUCACUGCUUCCCCUAAUAUCCUCCCUUUACCACAUCAUCAUGGGGGUUUACAGGAGAUCCCAGAGGCUCGCUCGGAAAGGCUGCUAUACCAAACAAUAUUACUUAACUACAAAGAAAUAAAAGACUUUAGUAGUCACUAGACUCACUAUAGUAGUCCGUCCGGCUGCUCUUGCUUAAAUCAUUACUCUUCAUUCUCCCGUGCUCUAGCAAUUGCGCUCCCUAGACCACUACCAUGUAGUUAGGUAGGGACAAUCAAUCCAUAGUUACGGGAAUAACGGAAUGAAUGGGGAUCCCUAUCAAUAUCAAAAUGAAGAUUCUUAUAUAAGAAAUCCUUUCUUUCCAUAGAUGUAUCUGGUCUGAGACGGUACAGUACUCUACGAGAGGAAUGCAAUGGGAUGGAUGGUAGAGGGCUGCCUGCGCCCAAAAGCGAUGAUUCACUUGUCCCCUUGUCUAUAGGGACCUCGUGGCAUACAACCGCCACGACUCCUGCGUUAUAGCCGCCCCUUUCUCUCUUUCUUUUGACUGCCUCGUGGACGGACGAAAGAAGGGAAGUUACAGAACGGGGCAGUGAAGGCUCGCGAAGUAGACAGCAAGCCCCCACCCCGUAAGUCCUGUGUUGCCGUAGCGCGCCCUACUUCAAUAAGGGCUGUUUCCCUCGCUUAUUUUAAAGCUCGCUAGGGGAUGGGAUUCAUUCACUUGCAUUCCUGCUAGCACUACAAAAAGCUCCGGUCUUAACGCCCUUACGGAAGCUGUGCAGCCUUUCCUCGGGUUCGUAGAGUCGGGUUUCCCGUUUACCCACAACGGAGGAGCCGCCCCCACCAACCAAAGCAGGCAGGCGGCCACGGUUCAUAACGCACUCUUCGCACAACAGAUCCACUUUGAAGUUGACUUAUUCGCUCGGCCAAUCGUCGGAAUGUGUACGAGAUACCAUAAGGGCCCAAUAUCUCAAUAGCACCCUUGUCUAAAGCUUCGAAUGAGACUGAAUAUCCGAAACGCAGGAACGAUCUGACUAGAAAGUCAUUCAAAACUUGAUCGAAGAACCAGCGUUUAUUGAAGAAGCAAUAGAGUCGAUUACAAAAAGUACUAGUUUGAAAGGCUCGUUGGAAUUGAUCCGCUACGGGAUUUACAUUAUACGCUAGAGAAGCACCUGAAGUACUAAACAGAAUAGGUAUUAGUUUUGUAAUGGUUGGAGCAGCAAACUCGGAUUCGGCAAGAAUCUCAUUUUUUGGUAGUACGAAGGGGGAAUUGGCCCAAAAAUUGGAUAGGGGUAAAGACGCAGCCGGGCGCCGGCGGCUUAUUCAAGUGCCCCCCGAACCGCGCGAAAUGGUCGCCUAUUACACGGCUCACAAACUCUGCCUGGGGUGAGGGUACCUAUUAUUCGUCGGCGGUACGGCGCACGCAGGGCCUCGGUUUGCUGCGUGGACUUCCUACAGAGUGCAAUGGAACCCAGCUCAGCUCCGCCGAGCCAAAAGGAAAGAACCGCCGGAGGCGAACAGUAGAGUAUAGCCAAGAGGCUUUCGUCGUCCGUAAAGGACCUAACGGAAGACCGUGCUCCGAAGUUCACUGAGAGUUUUCUUUUAAGAACACUUGACCUUACCCCUUCUAUUGAGCCAUGUCUAGGUGGAAUCGGCAAGAUUGAACCGAGGCCCGCCCGGCCACCGCCGGGGGGACAACCAGACCAACCAGUAGGGUUUCUUUCCGAAGUUUCCUCCCGGGGCCCUUAAAUCAUUGAAUUCAUAGGCAUAGGGGCGUCCCAGGCAGUGGUCCAAUGAGAAAGAAAGACAGGAGGGCAGGAUUCGUCGUGGUCGGGCGAAUUAAUUCCAUUAAAGAAAAAGGAACGGAGUCACCUGAGCUACGCGAAGGGAAGGAAGUCGUGGGCUGAGCCGGAGGUCACUUUUCCCGAUCCAUCCCGAAGGUUUUUUUCCCUCUCUCGCCCAUCAUCGUACCCAGCCCAGCUAUCGGCUCAGCCCUAUCUAUUCAUCUCUUUUUUUUUCACAUGGAUAUUUUGGGAUCUCUCUUGUUCAUCGAUCUUGAAACCGGAUCAAUAGAAAUUUCUCAAUGGGUCCAUCUAUCUAUAGAAAGAUCUAGAUCUCUAUCAGAAUCUAUCUCUAUAUCUAAAUAUGGAAGAACCUUCGAAGCCUGUCCCCGAUAUUGUUCUCCUACGAUGUCCCCUGGGCGAAAGGGGCCACCAUUCUCUUUCUUUCCUCAAUCGUUCCGAUCAUUUCUCCAUUUCAUUCCCCUUUGGUUGGGGGCCCCGGGUUGGUUCGUUUCCUCCUCCUAUCUACGCAAUUCUCUGUCUUCGUUCGUGAUCAUGUUAGGCGAAAAGAUAGGUCAAAAUUUUGUAGAGGGGCGGCUGUGAAACGGCGAUUCCCCUUUUUCCAUUGAAGUAGGGAGGGCCCCCUUCCCCACCAUUCCGACCUAUUAAGGGAUUUGACCGAUGCUGAAGGUAGCUUGCUUACCAAGCCACCCACUGGAGAAGCUAGUCGCCAGAAGAGUGUCGCCAGAAAGAAGCGAGUUUUGUUUACGAAACGAGCUCAGACGACUGAAGUUUACGAAAGGAGUCACUAAGGGGCGAGCAAUAGGUUUAGUGUAGUUGUCAAAUCCAAUCCAACUUGUACUAUAAUGUUUUCACAUCAAAGUGCAAAAGAGAUUCAACGCCCUGGUUCUCACUCAACAGUAGACCAAUCCGCGAGGAAUGCUGAUGGGCUACCAUCGGACUGCGAGCGCGCGAGAGCGAGAGACGGACUGACGACGAGCUGCACGCGAGACAGAGAGAGAGCUGUGAGAGAGAAGAGAAAGACCCGAUUAGGGUUAGGGAGAAGGACCACCAGCUUUCCGGCGAUAAGAUGAAACAAUCCGGCAGAUAAUUCUGGCCGGGUUCGAUCAUCGCUCUGAUACCAUGUGAAGAAAAAACAGAGUUCAGAGGGAGAAGAUUCAUUACUUACCAAAAAGAGGGAUCUUAAGGGUAAAUAAAAGCGUACUCUAUUGACAGUACGACAAGUAUACAAUGGAACAAUAUAUAAAAAAAAAUCCCUAAACAUAAAAAAAAAUUUUCAAACAAAUACAUGUCUCAACAUUGUAGGCCGCCUUGUGAGUCUCCUAUAGAACAGAGGCAUAGACUCACUUCAGAGGACGGCGAGUUCAUUGAAGAUUGUCUCAGUUCAGCAGCAUGGUUGGGAGUAACUAACGUGUAUAUAACCAUCACACGACCCGACAUUGCCUAUGUUGUUGGAGUCGUGAGUAAAUUCAUGCAGAAGCCAAGAACGAACGAUACAUCUAGAUGCCGCAUAAAGAUUAUAUAUUUAUUUAUUUAUUUAUUUAUAUUUAUAUAUAUAAAUAAAUAAUCUUUAGGAAAACGUUCUAUCCACUUACAAUAUAACAAAAGGAGAGAGAGGGAUUCGAACCCUCGAUAGUUCGUUGUUCAGAACUAUACCGGUUUUCAAGACCGGAGCUAUCAACCACUCGGCCAUCUCUCCCAGAGGUAAUCUCUAUUUUAUUCUUACGAAUAGAACAUUUAUUCCUACGAAUAGAACAUGACCAUAUUAGAUGAUACACUAACUAUCCGUAGAAACAUCCCAGAUGCGAAUUCAUAUUUCGAUGUAUCUAUCUGUAUACUAUAUGCAUAGUAUAUAUGCAUGAUCCAGUAUGUUUGUUUGUGAAGAAAAUACUAAACUUCCCUCGACUCCAUGUCCGAAUAGAGUGGUAAUUAAUUUUACCGAAUCAAUUGAUUCAUGUCAAAUCCCUCCAUGAUGCAUUUUAUUACAAUUUUGACUAAGCGAGGGAUCAAAUGGUAUAGUUCAUUUGUUGGUAGCUUGGAGGAUUACAAACAUGACUAUUGCUUUCCAAUUAGCUGUUUUUGCAUUAAUUGCGACUUCAUCAAUCUUACUGAUUAGUGUACCCGUUGUAUUUGCUUCUUCUGAUGGUUGGUCAAGUAACAAAAAUAUUGUAUUUUCCGGUACAUCAUUAUGGAUUGGAUUAGUCUUUCUGGUAGCUAUCCUUAAUUCUCUCAUCUCUUGAACUUAUUUGGUAUUUCCCCGAUCCAAAAAUGAAAUGCCACUCCUUCUACCUUCUAAUAAAUUCGGAUUGUGAGACAUUAAGAUUCAAUCUGAGUUACGAAAAAAAAAUGAUAUUGUUAUUAAUUGGAUAUAAUAAUAAGAUUAAGAUUAUCUUAAUUGAAAUCUUACUGUACUUUACUAUAGUAUCUGAGUAUCCGGCCCUGCACAAAUAUGAUCCAGACGCAUAUAUUAUAUAUGAUAUAUGUAAUAUAUGUGUGGACAUAUGCGUGCGUAUCAGGAACGAAGAAAAUGCGGAUAUGGUUGAAUGGUCAAAUUUCUCUUUGCCAAGGAGAAGAUGCGGGUUCGAUCCCCGCUAUCCGCCCACGAUGAAGUAAUGUACUAUGAAAAAAAAUGAGGUAUGGUUGACUACUAUACUGACUACUAUAGUAGUCAGUAUAGUAGUCAGUAUGGUCCCGCGGAGUUCUUACUUUUUCAUGUCUAAAAUCCGGUUCAUCCGAUUACUACAGAGAUGAACCCAACCCGGAAUAUGAACCGUAAAAGAAAAUACCUAUUAAACCGAUCACAAGAAUACCGGUUACAGUACCUAUCAGCCAAAGAGGAAUCCCUCCAGUAGUAUCGGCCAUUUCCCCCACUUUCCUCCACAUUUCAUCAAGUGGUCAUGCUAGAGACAAAAACAGUCAUAGAUAAUUAUGAGGAUAGUAUCUUUCCGAAUGGGAUAAGAGAAUUCCUACUAUUCUCUUUCUUUCUCUCAAUUGAAGAAAUAAUUGGAAAAUAAAACAGCAAGUACAAAAAUGAGUAAUAAACCCCAGUAUAGACUGGUACGAUUCAAUUCAACAUUUUGUUCAUUCGGGUUUGAUUGUGUCAUAGCUCUAUAAUUCGAAUUAGGUUUAUCGUUGGAUGAACUGCAUUGCUGAUAUUGACCCCAAGAAAAAAACGGUAGGUACAGCUAAUCCGUGAACAGCCAACCAUCGUACUGUAAAAAUUGGAUAGGUUCGAUCUAUGGUCAUUGGAGGGCCUCCUAAAAGGAUCUACUAAAUUUAUCGAGUUGUUCCAAAGAAUCAAAACGGCCGGUUAUCAACGGAAUACCUUGUCGGCUCUCUGUGAAAUACUCGUUUGGCCGAGGACUUCCAAACACGUCGUAAGCUAAACCCGUACUGACGAAUAACCAACCCGCAAUGAAUAGGGAAGGUAUAGUAAUGCUAUGAAUGACCCAGUAUCGAAUACUGGUAAUAAUAUCAGCAAAAGAACGUUCUCCCGUGCUUCCAGACAUUCUGAGCUCCACAAAUUUUUGUACAUUCAAAACAAAAAAGAAAUCGAUUCCGUGAAAGAUGGGAUCAGUAAAUGGAAAACUACGGAUAUUUCAUCUUUGUGAGAUCGUCCAUUUUGUACCAAAGGUGUAUUUCGAGUAUACCGAAUCAGUAUAGCUAUCCUUCCUCUGGCACAGCAACGCAGUCUCGAUGGGUACCGAAAUACUACAUAAUUAUUUUUUCUUCUUUUUUUGUUCCUUGUCUAUGCAUAACUGUAUGUUAUUCAAUAGAUCAAUAGAAAAUUCCUAAAAUUCCUUAUAAGGUGUUUCCAUUAUUGGCUUCGUAAUAGAAAGUAAAGAUCUUGGAAAAGUUUGAAUCAAUGGGUUCUAAUAAUUCAUGAAAGAUAUUAUCAUAUUCAAAAAUUUCAAUUAUAUUGAAAUCUAUAAACCCUUUUUUGGUUAAAAGUUUUUUUUGUUCGAAUCUUUCAUUUCAUUUCAAGUAAUUGGUUGGUCGUACAAUAAAUAAAAAUAAUAAAUUUAUUAUAAUAAAUAAAAAUAAUAAAUUUAUUAUAAUAAAUAAAAAUAAUAAAUUUAUUAUAAUAAAUAAAAAUACAAGAAUAGAUAAUAUUUAAUGAAAGAAAGAGAACAUAGUUGGAACAAUCAAUAUUCGUGAUGCAACAACGGUUGCAUUAGAUGCAAAACAAAGGUUCUUUCUUGACCGAACUACAAGUAUGGAACUCCAUGAUAUGGAAAGACAGAAUAUAGAACCUAAAAGGAUAAUGGAAGUUGUUCGUCUUUGAAUCGAGUUGGACCCUCCAAAAAGAAGAAAAAUGAAAGUAAAGGUUUGAUUUUUUUGAUAGAUCGUUUCGAUAUAUCGUAGGGCACUUUUUUUCUUCUCAUUCGAGAUAUUAUGGGCAAUUAACCAACCUAUUAAUGUACUGAAUCCAAUGAGUUAAAAAAAAAAGUCAAAGGUAAUAUCAGGUCGUUCGCCCCAAAAUGGAUUAGAUCCUUUUUAUUGAAAAAGAAAAGAAAUGAUCAAAAUGGAAGUUCUUUUCAAAUCAAAUUUUUUGAUUUUAUUCCAAAAUGACUUAAAUAGAAUUUCAUUUUUGAAUGAAGUUACACGACACAGUUCUUAUUACUAUUACUUUACUCAACUCACGAAUUGCACAAUGAAUCUGUCGAUUCGGAAUCACAGGACCGAUCGAUGUCACAGCUGAUGAAUCAAGAACUUUCAAUUGAACUAAACUAAUCCUGUCAAUUGGUUUUUUCUUACCGUCACUGUUGUAUCUGGGAAAAUGGAAACUUAGGUAAGUGUUUUAUCAACAUAUGUAACAAAAGAACAUAUCUAAUUUAGCUCUUUCAUGCCUACUAUAACUAGUUAUUUCGGUUUUCCACUGGCUGCUUUAACUAUAACCCCAGCUCUAUUGAUUGGUUUGAAUAAGAUACGACUUAUUUGAAAUGAAUUGAAUGAACAAUUCAAAAAAUGGAAUAUUUCUCUGAGAUUCCAGGUGUUCCAUGGUUCCUUUCCACAUCAAUUGCCAAUUCUUGGUUAUUGAGAUUCGCGGAUAAUUCAGAUUAAUAUUUAGGGAUAGAUUUUACCCAUCUUUUUAUCCCCUCAAAAAACCGAAAUGAUUGAAGUUUUUCUAUUUGGAAUCGUCUUAGGUCUAAUUCCUAUUACUUUGGCAGGAUUAUUCGUAACUGCAUAUUUACAAUACAGACGUGGUGAUCAGUUGGACCUUUGAUUGAGUAACAUUUAUUUUUUUUGAUUGACCUCCUCCCUGCGGGAGGUCAAAUUCAAGUUUCAAUUAAACUUUUUUUUGUUAAGUUUUUUUAUUGUGAUUCGACAUAACAUAAACGGAAUCACGCUCUGCAGGAUUUGAACCUACGACAUCGGGUUUUGGAGACCCGCGUUCUACCGAACUGAACUAAGAGCGCUUUCUUAUUACAGGAGAUACGACUGUAGUGUAAAGAAAAGGUUUUUUUACCCCCAAACAUAUCUUGCAUACGUAUAGCAUGCAAAAAUGAAAGAUUAUGUCCAAUUUCAAUCGAUCUUAAUUAAUAUUAAUCCCUCGUUACUGCCCAUAAGAGAAGUAAUAGGUAGGGAUGACAGGAUUUGAACCCGUGACCUCAAGGUUAUGAGCCUUGCGAGCUACCAAACUGCUCUACUCCGCGAUGAAGAACUGGGAACCAAUGGACGAAAAAAAAUUGGAUACACCCCUCUACCAUAUCUAUACAAAUAGAAUAGUCCAUUUAUACAGAAUGGUAAAGAGGGCCCCUCUAUGAUCAUAGAUCAUAGAGAUCUAUACAAAUAUGAAACGAUAUUUUUUUCCUUACCAACUUGAUCUUGUUGCGCCCGGUAACAAACAUGCAUGAACCAUUUCUCGAAGUAUGUGUCCAGAUAGCCCAAAGUCUCGAUAGUUAGCUCUAGGUCUUCCAGUCAAAAAACAACGUCGAUGAAGACGUAUAGGUGCACUAUUACGUGGUGGGGAUUGCAAUUUUCCAUGAAUUUCCCAUUUUUCACUCAACGAUGGAACUUCGCUUAUUUUUUUUUUGAAGAUCGACGAAUCAAAUGAUAUUUCUGUUCCAAUUUCUGCCGCUUCUUCUCCCUCUGAAUCAAACUUUUUCUUGCCAUAAUGUUCAGUUCCUAUUAUUAUCAAUUAUUAUUAUCAAUAAUACAGUUCGGAUCCUAGAUGUAAAAAUACAAGAAGGCAAAUCCUCCCUCUCCAUUGAAACAAAUGAGAUUGUUGCUGAUACAGUACAUAAAAAAAACUAAAUUAACCAAAUUUUCCUGAUGUAGAGGCAAUCAAGAAAGCUGCAUAAGUGAAUAUAUAACCUACGGAAAAGUGGGCUAAUCCAACCAAUCUUGCUUGCACAAUGGAAAGAGCCACUGGCUUAUCUCUCCAUCGAAUUAAAUUAGCCAAAGGUGUGCGUUCAUGAGCCCAUGCGUCAGUUUCAAUCAAUUCCUGCCAAUAUCCACGCCAGGAAAUUAAGAACAUAAAUCCAGUAGCCCAAACAAGAUGUCCAAAUAAGAACAUCCACGCCCAUACCGAUAAACUAUUCAUACCAAAAGGGUUAUAUCCAUUGAGUUGUUGUGAAGAGUUUAACCAUAGAUAAUCUCUUAACCAUCCCAUCAAAUAAGUGGAGGAUUCAUUAAAUUGUGAAACGUUACCCUGCCAUAAUGUGAUGUGUUUCCAAUGCCAAUAAAAAGUAACCCAUCCAAUGGUAUUUAACAUCCAGAAAACUGCCAAAAAAAAUGCGUCCCAAGCAGAAAUAUCACAAGUACCGCCGCGUCCUGGGCCGUCGCAAGGAAAACUAUAACCGAAAUCCUUUUUUUCUGGCAUUAACUUGGAACCACGUGCAUCUAAAGCACCUUUUACUAAAAUCAAUGUAGUUGUAUGCAAACCUAGAGCAAUAGCAUGAUGAACCAAGAAAUCUCCAGGACCUAUUGUUAAGAAGAGUGAAUUACUAUUCUCAUUAACAGCAUUCAACCAGCCAGGUAACCAUAUGCUUUGACCAGCAUUGAAUGCUGGACCAUUCGUUGAAGAUAAGAGUACAUCGAACCCAUAUGAGAAGUCUUACCAUGAGCGGAUUGUAUCCAUUGGGCAAAUAUGGGUUCGAUCAAGAUUUGUUUUUCCGGAGUACCAAAAGCGAGCAUGACGUCGUUAUGAACAUAAAGGCCCAAGGUAUGGAACCCGAGAAAGAGGCUGGCCCAACAACAAUGAGAUUUGAUAGCUUCUUUAUGGUCUAACAUUCUUGCCAAUACAUUAUCCUCAUUCUGUUCCGGAUUGUCAUCUCUAAUGAAGAAUAUAGCUCCAUGAGCAAAGGCUCCUGUCAUGAUGAACCCUGCGAUGUAUUGGUGAUGAGUAUAUAAGGCAGCUUGAGUAGUAAAGUCUUGUGCUAUGAAUGCAUAAGCAGGUAAAGAGUACAUGUGUUGAGCUACUAAGGAAGUAAUAACCCCUAAAGAGGCUAGAGCAAGACCUAAUUGAAAAUGAAUCGAAUUAUUGAUUGUGUCAUAAAGACCCUUAUGCCCACGUCCUAAUCGACCCCCCGGAGGAAUAUGUGUUUCUAAAAGAUCUUUGAUACUGUGUCCAAUUCCGAAGUUAGUUCUAUACAUAUGACCAGCAACGAGAAAAAUAAAUGCAAUAGCUAAAUGAUGAUGAGCAAUAUAGGUCAACCAUAAACUUUGCGUUUGUGAAUGGAAUCCCCCAAGAAGGGUUAGAAUGGCAGUUCCGGCUCCUUGGGAAGUACCAAAUAAAUGACUACUCGAAUCAGGGUUUUGAGCAUAAAGAUUCCACUGACCCGUAAAAAGUGGUCCCAACCCUUGAGGAUACGGUAAUACGUCUAAGAAAUUAUUCCAUCUGACGUACUCUCCCCUGGAUCCGGGAAUAGCGAUAUGAACUAAAUGUCCUGCCCAAGCCAAGGAACUUACUCCGAAAAGUCCUGACAAAUGAUGAUUGAGACGAGAUUCGGCAUUUUUGAACCACGAAACACUUGGUUUCCAUUUGGGUUGUAGAUGUAACCAACCCGCUAUUAAGGAUAUAGCAGAAAGAAAUAAUAGAAAAAGAGCUCCUGUAUAAAGAUCCUCAUUGGUGCGCAAUCUGAUUGUAUACCACCACUGAUAAACACCGGAAUAAGCGAUAUUCACUGGGCCGAUAGCACCCCCUCGAGUAAAGGCUUCUACAGCUGGUUGACCAAAAUGAGGAUAAAAAAUUGCAUGAGCAAUAGGUCUUACAUGUAAAGGGUCCUUUAUCCAUGACUCCAAAUUUCCUUGCCAAGCUACAUGAAACAGAUUUCCGGACGUCCACAGAAAGAUUAUUGCUAACUGCCCAAAAUGAGAAGCAAAAAUGUUCUGAUAAAGACGUUCCUCAGUAAUAUCAUCAUGACUCUCGAAGUCAUGUGCGGUAGCAAUACCAAACCAAAUACGACGAGUAGUGGGGUCCUGAGCUAAGCCGAGGCUAAACCUCGGAAAUCUUAAUGCCAUAAUGCCUUUCAAAUCCUCCUAGCCAUUAUCCUACUGCAAUAAUUCUUGCUAAGAAGAAUGCCCAUGUUGUGGCAAUUCCACCCAGAAGGUAAUGGGUUACUCCUACAGCACGUCCUUGUACAAUGCUCAAGGCUCUAGGCUGAGUAGCAGGAGCAACUUUUAAUUUGUUAUGAGCCCAAACGAUGGAUUCAAUGAGUUCUUGCCAAUAACCACGGCCACUGAAUAGAAACAUUAAACUGAAAGCCCAGAUAAAAUGAGCACCUAAGAAAAAAAGACCAUAUGCAGAUAAUGAAGAACCAUAAGACUGAAUUACCUGAGAUGCCUGUGCCCAUAAGAAAUCUCGGAGCCACCCAUUAAUAGUAAUGGAACUCUGUGCAAAGUUUCCUCCUGUGAUAUGAGUUACCACCCCUUGAUCACUUAUAGUACCCCAAACAUCCGACUGCAUUUUCCAACUGAAAUGGAAAAUGACUACCGAAAUUGAAUUGUACAUCCAGAAUAGACCUAAGAAGACAUGAUCCCAGGCGGAUACUUGACAUGUCCCCCCUCUUCCAGGUCCAUCACAAGGGAAACGAAAACCAAGAUUUGCUUUAUCAGGUAUCAAACGGGAACUGCGAGCAAAUAGAACACCCUUCAGUAGUAUCAAUACAGUCACAUGAAUCGUAAAUGCAUGAAUGUGAUGGACCAAAAAAUCUGCGGUUCCUAAUGGAAUAGGUAACAAAGCGACUUUGCCGCCUACUGCUACUAACUCACCACCCCCCCAAGUUAAGCUGGUACUUGUUGUUGCACCAGGAGCUGUUACCCCAGGUGCUCAAGCAUGAAUGUUUUGUACCCAUUGAGAAAAGAUGGGUUGUAAUUGUAUAGCGGUAUCUGAAAACAUAUCUUGGGGCCGCCCUAAAGCGCUCAUGGUAUCAUUAUGGUAUUAAGAGCUAAAUUGGCUAAAGGAAUGGGGCAUAAUUAUUAUGGAGAACCCGCAUGGCCCAAUGAUCUUUUAUAUAUUUUUCCAGUAGUAAUUCUAGGUACUCUCGCAUGUAAUGUAGGCUUAGCGGUUCUAGAACCGUCAAUGAUUGGUGAACCGGCAGAUCCAUUUGCAACUCCUUUGGAAAUAUUACCCGAAUGGUACUUCUUUCCCGUAUUUCAAAUACUCCGCACAGUGCCCAAUAAGUUAUUGGGUGUUCUUUUAAUGGUUUCAGUACCAAUGGGAUUAUUGACAGUACCUUUUUUUUAUAAUGUCAAUAAAUUCCAAAAUCCAUUUCGUCGUCCAGUAGCUACAACAGUCUUUUUGAUCGGUACCGUAGUAGCUCUUUGGUUAGGUAUUGGAGCAACAUUACCUAUUGAUAAAUCCCUAACUUUAGGUCUUUUUCAAAUUGAUUCAACUGUUAAAUACGAUGAUGUAGGUAUCUAGGGAAGAUUGACUUUGAAGUGAUUAUUCCCUAGAUACAUUAAUUUUAUUUUAUUAUGAUCCAUUCCGGGAAAAUACGGAUCGUGCCAAAGAUGAAAAACGAAUUUUCUUCUUUUUUUCUUUCUCAUUUUUUUUCUAUUAUCAAAAUUUAAUGAAAUAAUUACAAUGGAUUUCAAAUUCAAACUUCUUCUUAGAUAAAUCAAUUGCGAAAGACUUCUGUAGAGUGUCCAAUAUAUGUUUGACUUCUUCUAUUCGAAAAAAUGAAAUUCUCAUAAGAUCUUCUUGACUGUUAUUCAAAAGGUCCGAUAAUGUAUGUAUAUUGGACCCUUUGAGACAGUUAUAGGUCCUGGAAGGCAAUUCUGAUUGGUCAAUAAAAAUCAAUUUCAAUGGAAUUCCUUUUUUGUUUUUCUUUAGAUUAGUUAAUCUAUCUUGAAAGGUAAAAAGGGGUAGAGGAAACCUGUUUUUAUUUUCUUCGAAAUUAAUGUCCUCUUCCUCCGCAUGUAGAAAAGGAAUAAAUAAAUCAAUCAAAUUACGAGAAGCUUCAUAAAGUGCUUCCUUAGGAGUGAAACUUCCAUUCGUCCAUAUUUCUAGAAAAAGUCUCUCUUGUUUUUCAUUCCCAUUCCCAUAAGAAUGAAUACUAUGAUUCGCAUUUCGAACAGGCAUGGAUACAGCAUCUAUAGGAUAACUUCCAUCUUGAGAGUUAUUUGCGGAUUUCAUACGAUAUCCGCGAUCUCUCUUGAUUUGUAAUUCAAUACACAAAGAAAUUGGUUCCGUCAGGUUAGCUAUAUGUUGUGUCGUGUCAACUAUUUCCACGUAAGGUGGUGAGAUGAUAUCUUGAGCGGUUACGUAUCUAGGCCCCCUGACGCAGAUGGAUGCGUCUAUAACUCCAUACAGAUGACUUCUCAAUAUAAUUUCUUUCAAAUUUAGUCGACAUUUCAUGUACGGAUUCUUCAAUACCUACUAUCGUAGAAUAUUCAUGUGCUACUUUCUUAGAUUUUGCACGUGUGAUACAUGUUCCUUCUAUUUCUCCAAGUAAAGCCCUUCGCAUGGCAAUACCUAUGGUAUCGGCUUGACCUUUCAUAAGCGGGGACAGAAUGAAACGACCAUAAUAAAGACGCUUACUGUCUACUCUUGAUUCAACAAAUUUCCACCGUAGUGUUCGAGUGGAUCCUACUACUUCCUCUCGAACCAUACUAUAAUAAUACUUAUUAUAAUAUUUGAUCAGAUCAUUGAAUCAUUUAUUUCUCUUGAAAUCUGUUUCAUUCUUAUUUCUACACACGUCUUUUUUUAGGAGGUCGACACCCGUGGCAUAGGUGUUACAUCACGUACUAAACUUAAUAGUAUACCACUUCUACGAAUGGCUCGUCAUGCUGCAUCUCUUCCGAGACCAGGGCCUUUUAUCAUAACUUCUGCCCGUUGCAUACCCUGAUCAACUACUGUACGAAUAGCAUUUACCGCUGCGGCUUGAGCAGCAUAGGGUGUACCUCUUCUUGUGCCUUUGAAUCCAGAAGUACCCGCGGAGGCCCAAGAAACCACCCGACCUCGUACAUCUGUAACAGUUACAAUGGUAUUGUUGAAACUCGCUUGAACAUGAAUAACUCCUUUUGGUAUUCUACGUCCAUUCUUACGUGAACCAAUACGUCCAUUCCUACGUGAACCAAUUCUUGGUAUAGCUUUUGUCAUAUUUUAUCGUCUCAUAAAUAUGAGUCAGAAAUAUACAGAAAGAAAAGAUACGGAGAUAUCCAUUUCAUGUUAAAACAGAUCUUUUAUUCUUACAUGGGUCCUCCCCUUUAGAAAAGAAAGUUAUUUUUUAGAAAGAUUACCCUUGUCUCUGUUUAUGUCUCGGAUUGGAACAAAUCACUAUAAUUCGUCCGCGCCUACGGAUCAGUCGACAUUUUUCACAAAUUUUACGAACAGAAGUCCUUAUUUUCAUAUUUCUUAUUCCUUACCUUAAUUCUGAAUCUACUCUUUUGAAGAAAAUAAGUUUCUUAAAUAUUUUUUUUUUCACUUCGAAUUGUGUCCCCAUGAAAAGAAUGUUUCAAAAAUCACCUAAUCGUUCGAAUCUUUGUUGCGAAGUCUAUAAAUUAUACGAUCUUCGAGGCAUGCGAUUGCAUGGAUGCCGGUGUUUUGAAAUCUUGGACUGACGUCUCUGCAGCUCUCUAUGAGAGUUCGUGAAGCUGGUUUUCUUAGAUAUUCUGCAAAACCAGAGCACGUGAGUCCUCAUUAUAAUAGACACUGGUAUCGCCACAUCCUUGUGGCGUUCUCUCCCGGUGGUAUCCUACCACUCCCAUUUCAGGUUUGGUUAGGGUUCCCAGAUGGAAUAUUAAUCACUUGUUAUCAUAUGGGUAUGGUGCGAGACAUGCUUGUGUCUUCGUGUUCUCCGGAUUGGGGUCAUGUGGAGCGCUUUGCCACUGAUCUCGAUUUGAAGCUCGAUGAGGACACCGGCUUGCUGACAGAAAAGCUUUUUCUCGGGUUAAAGCCUGUUUGGCUUAUUGCGCGUGGUGGUACAGGGCGAGAGUUGACUUCUGUUGAGAGUUUCCUUGAUCCUCCGGCCGUGUGUUUUAGGCCGGAUCGGAACAAUUAUCAAAGUUUCAAAAAUAUGGUCUGAUGUUCCGGUGCUAUGACCUCGUCCGCCAGAAAGUCUCUCCGAUUUCUUUCGGAGAGAAAGCGGUCAGGUUUACUUUCGACGUCGUGUCAUCUCGUAUUUGGUCUAGAUCUUAUCAAUGGUUAGAAAAGAUUGAAAGAAAACUCUGGAAGAGUGCUGUGGUCUUGCUAUGGCUCUGGCGCCGAAAGGCCCCUCGAGUCCUCUUCAAGGCAUAAUAUUGAGAAUGCUCAUUCAAUGAGCAAUUCAAUAACAGAUUUCGGAUCUAAUCAAUAUUGAUAUACCGAGUAUCUUAUCUGUUGAUACGAAGUAUUCCGGCGAUCCCCACGAUCCGAGUCCGAGCUGUUGGAAUUGGAAUAGGUUCGGCAGCGGAUCACGAAAUCUUGGCGAUCUUCUCUAUCUAAUGAAUGAGGAGUCCGUUUGGAAAUCGUCCGCCCUGCACCCACCCCCCGAGUAUAUGAUUCAACAGGAAUCACACAAGGGUAGAUUGAUAGAAACCUCUGGUAAAAUACCCACUAGUACCCAUAACCCAGCAGAUAAAGUACAUCCGUUUUAGGGAUUGGCGACUUACCCAUUCAGUGACUUUGGCACUGGACGUUCCCAAAAUGGGUACUAUCGGGUCGGGUGAAUUAGAGAAUAGACAGACGUCUGUUGGCAUUCCAGCCUUCCUUCUCCUUUCAGGGCCUAUCCGAAAGAGAAUCCAGUACCUCUUGGUCGUGAAUAUCUGAAUAGGACGAACCGGCCUCCGUGGAUAUCUUUGCUUCGGAACAAAACAAGACGAAUUAGGCUCGGUCAACUGGAAUGUGUAUUAUCCAUAUGGGAGAUCUUCCAAUUGAGAAGAUCCAUCGACCUGAGACGAAGAGAAAGGUCUAUCUAUUUUCUUUAGUUAUUCAGUUAAACCAAUGAUUCGUUAUUGGAGCAGAUAGCAACAACCGUUUCAUCGGACAUGCGUAUUUUUGAUUUUCUGAUGGAUUUACAUGGUUUCAUUAAUGGAAAUUGUUUGAUGUAGUGAGUAAUAGGCUCUGGUUGUUCGCCGUUCGACGAAUUCUUGUUUAGGCAGUUCAUAUCAUCCAUACAUAGUGUUUUGAUCUCAUAUUUCAAUUCUUCCAUGUUUCAGCAGUAGCAUAUUGUUCCAUGGAGCUAAGGUCCAAAAUAUGGAAUAAACAAGUGUUUCCACGACUCUACCACCCGGCCAAUCCUGUUUGUUCCACUUAAUCCCUUUUUCAUGGCCAAAUAUCUUUACGGCUAAGGAAUGGGAAAUCUUUCUCCUGUUACAUGAAUCAAAUGUUUCAUUUCAUCCGGGAAAAGCCAUCUCUUUCUCAACAAUGUCUUUGUCAUUUGAUCCAAUAGCGUUCCGUUAGAUAGGAACAGAUUUGAUAAAUACUGAUAACUCUCGGAUAGAGUAUUAGAACGGAAAGAUCCAUUAGAUAAUGAACUAUUGGUUCUAAGCCAUCUCUGGCGAUGAAUCAACAAUUCGAAGUGCUUUUCUUGCGUAUUCUUGAUGAACCAGCGUUUAUAUAUAGAUGUAGGAGGAUUUGUUUGGUAAGUAAUAAGCCCCUUUGACAUCUCUUCAUCUGCAAAGAAUUCUCGACGUGAAAACACAGAGACAAAGGGCUGAUCUUUGAAUAGGAAAAAGAAUGGAUCCGCAGGGUCCCAAAUGAAUUGGCUUAUUCGAAAAAAGCCUUGUUCUUUGGAAGAUCUAUCUCGUGUCUGGUACUGCAUGGUUCCACUCUGCAAGAACUCCGAAUCAUUCUCUUGAAGCUCAUCCUCUUUAUGAUAAAUGAUCCGCUUGCCCCGAAAUGACCCGCCCCAAUAGGGAAAUCCCAAUUCAGUGGGCCUUUCGAUACAAUCAAAUAGAUUGCCACAAGGGCGCCAUAUUCUAGGAGCCCAAACUAUGUGAUUGAAUAAAUCCUCCUCUAUCUGUUGCGGGUCGACGGCUCCUUCCCCUUCUUCAAACUCCGAUUCGUAUUUUUCAUAUAGAAAUCUCUGAUCAACGAUAGAACAAGAUCCAUUUUGCAUCAUAUCUAACUGAUUCCUUGGUUCGGACCGAAGAAGUAAUGUCACUCGAUUAUUAUCAAACUGACUGCAAUCUUUUUCUGUCCGUAAGGAUCCCACCAGAGCGCUUUCUACUUCUAAUAGGCCAUGAACUAGAUCAGAAUCAUUCUCAACGAAUCCAUAAGAAGUGAUCCAAUUUUUUUCAUCGGGUCCGGGUGAAGACCAAAGAUCUUGAGCGACCGAUCCGGCAGAACAACUCAAAAGAUAAAGAAGUAUCGUUAAUUUCUUCAUGCUCGUUCCAAGUUCGAAGUACCAUUUGUACAAAUAAGAAUCCCCUUCCUUACAUGAUUUCUUCUUCAUAUAGAUAGAUAUAGGAUCCAUGGGGCAAUUACUUAGAAGUACAUUUUGUGCAACAGCCCUUCCUAUCUGAUAGAAAAGGAUCCCAUGAUCCUGAACCGAUCUUACCUGGGAUCGCAAAUCCCAAGUUUGUCUAUGAAGAGCUGAUCUAAUUGUAUUAGUUUCUAUAAUUGAUUUCUUCUGUGUAAUACUAAUUGAUAGGGCCUCAUUGAUAAGUACUACAAGAUCUCGUGCAUUGGAACCCAUGGUUAUGGACCCGAAUACGUUAGUAUGGAACAUUUUCUUUUCCAAGUGAAAUCCCCUAGUAUAUGAAAGAAUGAAAAAGUGCUUUCGUUGUUGUGGAAUAAGAAGCCUUCGUAUCUUAAUGCAUGUAUUUAAUUUAUUCGGAGCUAUUAGAGCGGGAUCCACUUUUUGGGGAAUAUGAGUCGAAGCAAUAACAAGAAUAUUUCUAGUGGAACAUCUUUCACAAUCCCUGGAGAGAUAGUUCUCUAAUAGACCGAGAGAUAAGUAAUUCGACUCAUUCACAUACAGAUCAUGAAUGUUUGGAAUCCAUAUUAUGCAAGGAGACAUUGCUUUUGCUAAUUCGAAUUGAAGGGUGAUAUCAAAUCGGUCUAUUUUCGGCGUCAUAUACAUAGUUAGCACAUUCGUCAUAGUUAGCAGCUCCGUAUCAAGGUCAUCAUCAAUAUCGUCACUAUCAUCAAUAUCGAUAUCGUCACUAUCAUCAAUAUCGAUAUCGUCACUAUCAUCAAUAUCGAUAUCAUCAAUAAGAUAACCUUUAGGCUUGUCAUCCAGGAACUUGUUCGGAAAUACCGUAAUGAAAGGAACAUAGGAGUUUCUCGUCCGGUAUUUGACCAAAUAGGAUCGUCCAGUCUUAAAGAGUGCCGCCAUACGCAUACCUCCUCUGGCGGAAGCCUCCUCCAUCUCCGCUGCGAUCUCGGCCUCCAAAGCGUAGUAUUCCGCGUCAUCAUCGUCCUACAGAAUGAGAAAAGCCACUAAGGGUUCAUUACGAAAACAAAAGAAGGAUAAAAGACAAAGAGAACAUCCACUUUACCUCCUUCUUGCAGGUCCCAAUUAGCGGGUCAUUUUUGAUUUAAACUCCUCCAGUCAAGCCUCACUUUUUCAGCUUUGACCAGAACCGAUUCAAUCAAUGCGACUUCGUCCCACCAGUCUUCAAGGAAGGAAUAUUCUGAGGCGGGCAAGGAAGGAAGAGGCAAGAUAUAUCUAGAAUGUAGAAAGAGAAUCUUCUCAUUCAGAAAAUGCCCCUUUAGCCCACUCUCUUUUUACAUAGCCAACUAGUUGGUGUACUCUCCCGAGGGUUAGGAUUAAGGGUCGGUCGAGUAUUGAAUAACCUCGGCCCUGCUAAGUUCCACAUACUCCCUAACCGCCCUGACCUCUUCUCUGAUCAAGUCAGGAUCUAAAGGGUUACACUGAAGGCGUCUCUGGACAUUCUCCAUCUUCUCUUUAGCUCGAGCAACUCUACAGUCAAUGUCUGAAAACUGUUCCAGUUUCUAAGCCUAGCUUUAAGCUUUUUAAGCUUAGAGCAUAAUUGAAACAUAGGGGUACCCACCACUUCUUCCGACCAUACCUCCUUCACUAAAGGAAGAAAAUCCGGAUGGUCCGCCCAAAAGUCGAAGAAUUUGAAAGGUUUCUUCAACCUGGGCAACUCCGUCAACUUAAUAAGAAUAGAAGAAUGAUCAGAAAUACUAGCUGGGAGAAAGAUAGCUUCCGAGCCUGAGAACCUCCCUUCCCACUCCAUAUUGACCAACGCCCUAUCAAGUUUUCUCACAAUGGUAUCACCUUCCCUCCUAUUACACCAUGUGUAGAGUUGACCACUAAACCUGAGAUCAUCCAAGUCUGACUGAACUAUGCAGUUAUCCAGGUCAUCCAUCCAACUCUGCCAUUCAGUAGAGCCCCCCAGUCUCUCAUUGCGCCUUCUGAUUGCAUUAAAAUCCCCAAUAACCAGCCACGGAAUCCCCCCAAAAGAAGCAGCACUCGAAGCAAGAUCAGCCCAUAAACUCUCUCUCUUGGAAGGACAGUUAUCUCCGUAAAUAACCGAGACCACACAACUCCAUUUACCAGAAAUUUAUUGAACCCUACAAUGCAUGCACUGAUCCGAUUGACCAAUAACUGCAACCUGAACUGCACUCGGGUCCCAACACACCCGAAUCCGCCCCCUAGGAGAGCUAUCAUAGUUGUACACUGCUUCCCACUGAUAAGCAAUGGAUCUCAGGAUCUUUUCUUUAUUAACUGCCUUAACUUUCGUCUCCACCAGCCCACAAAAAGAAAGCUUUUGUUCACGGAUCCAAUUCCUCACUUCCUUCUGCUUCAAAGGGUCAUUCAGACCCCGGAUAUUCCAAGACCAAAAAAGAAUGAGGAAUACAAAAACCACAAAAAGUGCACCGUGCCCUAGUGCAUCACUUUUUCCUUCCGGGAAGGAACAUUUUUCUUUCUACCCUUGGCACCUUUCUGACCGGGAAGCUUCCUAUCCAUAGAGUCCUUUGCCAAGAGGCCAAGGAGGCUCUUCUCCGGGGAAGCAGAAGGAGGCUCAUUGAUGUGCCUAUCACUAGAGUUGAUCGGAGUGGCUACUUGCUCAGACUGAAGCUCACUACCCAAAUUAUUGACCAAGCCUUCGACUACUCGAGACCCACCAUCUUGCUCUACCGCCGAGGAAAUUUCAGUGAUCCCAAUAGGACUAAUCAGAUCUGCACUUUUCCCUUCACAGACUAUCCCACCCUUCUUAGCAUCACAAACCGAGGGGGAAGCUUCUGCACAAGCAAGUAAGGCCCUGGAGUCCUCAGUAACAGCCUUACCUUUCCCCUUCUUGCCCACUUCAAUCCAACCUUCUCCUUCAGCCCUAGAACUCGGUCCUACCACAGGGGCUGCCUUGUCAAGCCUAGGAGAGGUGGGACUAGGGUUACGGGCACAAGAGGCGGUGGAAUGCCCAAAAACCUUGCACUGAGAGCAAAGAGAAGGCUUCCAAUCAUAUUCUACAUAAAUCGUCGUCCAAGACCCAUCCUCGCAUGUUCAAUCAAAAUCCUUGGAUGCAUCAACCUCAACGCAUAUCCUUGCAUAGCUAAUGCGUUUUUUCCCACCUGUCAUUCUGUCUGAGUGGAGCGGUUUUCCAAUAGCGCUGGCGAUGUAGCUCAACCCAGUAGCCGUCCAAAACUCCAGAGGAAUACCAUAGAACCUGACCCAGAGAGGAACUUUCUGAAGCUCUUCUUUAAGCAGGGAAAGAUUCGGCUGCCACUUUUUCAAAACAAGUGGCCUAUUCCAAACAUGCCAAGGAGCACCAUCAAGCACUAUAUCCAGGGACUCAGUUCCCUUAAAUUUGAAAAAGAAAAAAAAAUGAUCCUCUGUUAUUCCUUCCACCAAUCCUAAACCAUCCCAGAGUCUGUGGGCAGUCGCAUUCACAGCCGAAUAAGACGGUUUAGGGCCAACAAAAUACCCUACCAGAGUAGAAUCCCACACCUGCAUCCCCUCGCUACCCCUGACGGAGGGGCUACUCUCACUCUACCUUCCUCAACAACAGGAGCAAAGUCAGAUAAAUUCAUAGCGGAGUCUGAGCUAUUACAAGGUAAUUGAUUCCCUGCCUUCACAGCCCCCGCAUAACUAAGAGGAGGAGCAGAACCAUUAUUGCAUUCUGAACCGUUCCCACCACCCGUGCAGUAUUAUGGGAAAAAGAACCACGUCCCCUUCCCCUUCCCCUACCCCUGCCCCUGUCUCCUCUGCCAGCAGCAAUAGGGGGACUAUAAGCACUAGACCCAGCUGAGACACUCUUGGGGCCACUCUGAAAAGAGCUGUCCCGGCCCUCUUUUUUCACCAGGGUUCUCAAAGAUUCACAUUCUCUCCUCAAAGAGGCAAUCUCAGCUAACAGAACUUCUGAUGAGGGUGUACUGUUACCAACCUCACGGGGGGCUAAGUCCUUCUCCAAAGAGCUGCCCAAACCUGGCUGGGCACUAGCAAGAGCGCAAUUCAGAGGCAAGGACGCCUCAACAAGAACAAGGGAGUCAUCUCCGUUAGGGACCGAAUGAGCCCGCAAGGCUCUGUCAUUGAGUUUUCUUAUUAAACACUUUUUUUUAGGGCCAAUAAGCUUUUCAUGUAUGCCCGCCAUUCUAAGCGGUUCUUUAUCCAUUAAAAAAGUUCAAUAUCCGCUCUUUUAUGAAUACUCUAUAAAAACUUUUAUGCAUUUUGCACCAUUUGUGCCCUUACUAUCCAACAACUACUUGAAAGAGUUCUAGGAAAGAUUUUGGCCAUCUGCGCCCCAUAGAACCUACAUUUGAGAAAAACAGCUGCAGAUGAGUCUUAGCCAGUUCCAUCGUAUUUGUCUAUGUCAGGCAUCUUUCACUUUUUUUGGAAAAAAAACCUCUGGAAAAAGGGUCAAUCCCUUCAUGUUGUUUUUAUUCCAGACCCCUUCACUUUCUUCAACUCUUCCUGUAACUUGGCUAGCUGCUCCCCUUGUUCCUUCAACCAAUUUUCCAUUUCAGUUCUGGGUUUAGGGGAAGGAAGGGGGCUGUGGCGUGUUCAAAAAAAAGGCUGUCCUGGGUCGGGAGAGUCUUCAGCAUAUUGGUCACAAUCAUCAAAGACCUGAACCGGAGGUGCUUGAGGUGCAGUAGAAGGAGCUGACUUAUUGAUGGCUCGGUUCGACGCUUUCCUUUUGGGCUAACAGAGCCUUGAGAAUGUCGUGAGUGGUUGGUUCAGGCGGAACCGGGAUUUCGGGUUCAUCUGACAUAGUCAAUACAAUAGGGGAUUCAGAAUUCGGGGGUGUAACUUCUUCUACACGAACCAGUCGGCGAGAUGGGCGGACCCAGAACGGUUCAAGGGGAACUUUCUUGCGAGAUGGAAUGAUGUUCAACAAAAAUGUGCCCUCCUGUCUCCUUAGAUGGGCUAAACCUUGAGUCAGAUGGUAUUUAAGGAACAUCAUUUACCAAGGUGGAUUGGUGUUCACUAAAUACCAUAUGAUUCAGUCUAGCGGUCUAGGGGUAAGAACAGGGUAGUCCUAGAUGUUCAAAGUUUAGCCACACAUUCACAGAGCAUCCAUCUUUUCCCAUGCCAAGGAAAAACCAAAAAAGAAAAUCACCUAUCUCCUAGUGUUGCUUAGUGCUCAGGUGCAUCCUACUGGGUGGUCCUAAACUUCAGUAGUUCUAUGGCCACUACAUGAUUGAAUUUAGGCUCUAGUAGGACAAGUUAAGGUUCCCACUGCAAUGGGGGAGACCUCCCAGCUCUUCAUCCCUAGGACGUCGGACUGGUCAAGCGGUACUAUGCACCCCUACUUUGGUAUACCCUCCUAAGAGGAGUACUUGGCAGCAGGUGGUGGGUACGGUUCGCUCGCUAAUUCAAGCCCUUACCUUUUCGGGUCAGUCCAGGAGCUGAGACAGAGAAAGAUUUGCUUUCUGUUUUUUGCGGGUGGAGGAGUCGAUACGAUACAUCUAUGUGGAGUUGAACCGAUAGCGCGUACCUUACCGGGCGCGGUUCUUCUGAGAUCUCCCCCGCCAGAUGUUUUCCAGACACUCGCCUUUCGCUAUGUCGGUUCGUUGGAUUAGUAUGCCCCCUCGGCCCUUUCCUUCUGCCAAAAGUAUUGGAAGCUUGAAUGGUAGGGUCUGGACUUAAGUGCGAGCGAGCCCCCCUCGCAGCUCAACCAUCUAUUUUCGGCUUUAUUGAGAGAAUAGGGGCGGUGGGAGAGAACUCGGUUGCUUUAUGGCGUUUCGCAUACCGGGCGGCUCAAUCUUAUCGAUUUCAGCAGUGUCCAUCGCUCCCUUCGGCUGGCUAUUAUGGUGAAUGGAUUGGGGAUAAAGGGCCAACCAAUGCACCCUUAGAGGUUUGGGAACGACCCAGACCUAUUGAUUGCCCCUCCUGCCUCGGGAGCAUGCACAGGAAUCCCGGACAUUGAGGGGGAGGGGUGGUACCCACCAUAGCCGCAGUCAACGAAUUCAUUAGGCAAUCGGGCUUUUUUCUUUUUUUCUUGAAAGCAGGCAAGGUGAAUGGGAACUGACUGCAGAAAGCCCCGGUUUUGAUUGAGCAGGCGGUCAAGCCGAAGCUUCGAAACCGUGGAGCGGUGGAGAAACUGGAAUUCUAGGUCUUUGAGCUUCGUUCCAUCGACUUGGCUUAACAAUAGGUGGUGGAGAUCCGGGCGCAUAGCCAACCUGCAACAUGGGUUCCGAGGGAGGUAGAGGCAUGGGCACCGGUAGUUGCAUCAGUAGCAACAGUAGCAUAAUCCGGAUAUUUAAAUGGAUAUAUAGCCAUAGUCAGCUGCUGCUGCCAUCGCUUUUCUUUUUUAGUGAGAUCAUCAAAAAGACUGGGCAUGGACAAGGAAGACUAAUCACAGCUAGUCGUGUGUCGAAAUGGGACAGAGAUAGUUUGUCAAUCAACCACCUCUCCUCCCCUGACCAGAAAGCGGAUCUGAUCUCAAAAGCCAGAAAGCCACUGUCUCUAUCUCCAUAGCCGACAGCCUCUCUCUUCUCUGUCCUCAAGCACCACCUUCCCUAAAGCUGCCUUUUCUCUAACCCUUCCCUUCCCUUAAAAGCCGAAACCACAAUCAUUCUCUUUAUUCUACGACCCCUGGAACAGAAACUAUGCUAGCUUCUUUCCUAACUCUCUCUUAAAAACCAAGCAUUUAUGACGCUUCGCUUGCGCAGAAAAGGAAGGAGUUCAUCGAGAAAACCACUUGCCUGACUUCUUUCUUUUAUUCCUUGUGCUUAGGGCGGUAGUCAAGUCAAGCCAAGCUAAAAGUAGUGAAAGCUCUUUUCUGAUCUGUCUGCUGAACGUGUUUCCGACUUACGCAACCGGAAGAGAAAGCAGGAGUUUUGACUAAAAAAACGGAUUUUGUCUGGUUUGUUCCCUCGAGACGUCUACUCAACGAAGAAGCCCACUCGCUAGAUAAAGCCGAUACAGAAACAGAUACUGCUAGCCGUAACGUAAAGAGUGGAUUCUCCUCCCUCGAGUACUGAGCUUACCGAAAGGCUAGUUUCCAUCCAUAAGCAUUCGCAGGUACCUCGAGGGACAAAGCACGGAAUGAAAGAUUCUUCAUCUGCGGCAAUGUUAAUUGGCCGAUGGAUUCCGAGUUACUAACUUACUUGACAGAAGACUGAUCAGCUGACUUUGAAAAUGGCUUGAGAGAGACGGAUAGAGGGUUCUAAACCUCUUCUCUUCCUGUGCCUGAGUGAUGGCUUUCCAGAGGAGAUUGCUUUCAAGACCAGAAGCGCAGAUGAUAGUUUCAAGGACAUGGGGAGAGGAUCCCAAUUAAAAAAAUCACCUGACGGAGGCACGCCACCCUGCAAGAAGGAAUAGAGCUUCCUUAGAGCUUCCUGCUAUCUCUUCCCUCUGACGAAGAAGUUCAAAGAGGAGACUAAGUACCAUCCAUUGCCUGGCCUAUGAUAUAUGGAUUACCUUUCGAAGUCGACAAAGGCUUAGUUCAUCACAUAAGUAGGCUUCCGAAUGACCAACCUCUUUCGUCAGGUGUAGCAUAUUCAAUCAAGGUCAAAGUUUCCUAGAUAAAGCUUAGCUUAGGGGGUCCCUAUCGAUUUCUGACUGCCUGCUCUUCUUUUUCUCUUGCAAUAGGUAUUCUUUCUUCUGUCUGAAGGUAAGGGGCAACUGGUAAGGCUUGCAUGCAUAGUGGCUUCGGUAAGUAUUCUUGUAGGUGCUAAAUCAAGAGAAGCUUAUUCUCCAACAAUUGCUUCAGCAGGAUUUUAGGCAUUGGCCAAUACGUACAGGAAAUCUUUUAUUCAAUCUAGCUCUCCUGCCCGGUAGCUGUCUCAAUCGGUCGAGCUGUCCGUUUUUUCUUUCAAUCGGUCUCUUGGCAUCCGUCCUUUCCUGUAGUUGAUCUGUAGUAAUUUCGAUCUAUGUAUUACCUAUUUUCCUUAAGCAUCAGGUCUCUUUAAGCUAUCAGAUAUAGGUAGGUACUACUCUAGGUCAAUGAACUCUCGAUAAAUGACUGUAUUUGAAGCUCUUUCAACUUUCAUGAUACAUUAAAGUAAGGAAAUCCGUCGAAUAUGCAGGAAGUUCAAGGCAGAAGACCUCGAUUGGUACCGAGUCACGGCCGAGUGAGGAUCUUACUCUUCCUGAGUCAUCUCGCCUAGAUAGAACUGUCUGAUCUUACUCUCAGGAAGUGGAUUCCCCCAUCGGAUAAUAGAAUCGUCUUCAAACAGCGUUCCGGUGCAUCGGGGCAUACAUAUAAAUAUGUUAUAGUAAGCUUCUUACUUCCUGCUAGCCAAUAAGAAGAGUUUCAGAUUCUCAUGUAGGAAGUUCUUAGACAAGAUUAUGAAAAGUCGAAAGAGCGAAAUUGCAUAAAAUAAAAAAAGAAAGUGAUGACAGAAGACUGCAUGGCCUCUCAAAAGUAGCUUAGUUCAAUCAUAACCACUGUUGUACAUGUUAUCGGAGUCUAGCUAGCUCCGCCCUUGCCCAGUCACUAUUUAGAUUGUGGCCCGAGAACUAGGGGAAACUGAGAGAAAGGAAAGUUUUUUUGUCUAAGUUA